rnacentral:tRNA from 1 species
GCCGAAGUGGCGGAAUUGGCAGACGCGGCAGACUCAAAAUCUGCUGGGGGGCAACCCCCGUGCCGGUUCGAGUCCGGCCUUCGGCACCA